GCCGUUAGAUUUAAGUGAGUAAGGAGAAAGAAGGUUUAGAAUAAUUCAGAUAGUCUGUUUAAAUAAUGUUGUUUUUUGAGUACAAUUUUAUGGGUAGAUAGAUGGGAGCUUCUCAGCAGGGAGCAAUUUUUUGUGUGGAUUAUUAAAAAAGAGAUGGUGAAUUAUUACAGCAAAUUCAAGGCAGCUGGCAUGUCAUUCUUCAGUUUAGGUUAAUUAAAUCGGUUGU
rnacentral:lncRNA from 1 species